rnacentral:rRNA from 1 species
GUCGAACGAAGCACCUGAGAAUGAUUCUUCGGAUGAAGUCUCUUGUGACUGAGCCGCUGACGGGUGAGUAACGCGUGGGUAACCUGCCUCACACAGGGCCAUAACAGUUGGAAACGACCGCUAAUACCGCAUAACCCGCUGGUGCCGCAUGGCACUGACGGAAAAGAUUUUAUCGGUGUGAGAUGGACCCGCGUCUGAUUAGCCAGUUGGCAGGGUAACGGCCUACCAAAGCGACGAUCAGUAGCCGGCCUGAGAGGGUGAACGGCCACAUUGGGACUGAGACACGGCCCAGACUCCUGCGGGAGGCAGCAGUGGGGAAUAUUGCACAAUGGGGGGAACCCUGAUGCAGCGACGCCGCGUGAGUGAAGAAGUAUUUCGGUAUGUAAAGCUCUAUCAGCAGGGAAGAAAAUGACGGUACCUGAUUAAGAAGCCCCGGCUAACUACGUGCCAGCAGCCGCGGUAAUACGUAGGGGGCAAGCGUUAUCCGGAUUUACUGGGUGUAAAGGGAGCGUAGACGGUGAUGCAAGUCAGAAGUGAAAGCCCGGGGCUCAACUCCGGGACUGCUUUUGAAACUGUGUGACUGGAGUGCAGGAGAGGUAAGCGGAAUUCCUGGUGUAGCGGUGAAAUGCGUAGAUAUCAGGAGGAACACCAGUGGCGAAGGCGGCUUACUGGACUGUAACUGACGUUGAGGCUCGAAAGCGUGGGGAGCAAAC